AUGGCUGUCGUCAGCUCGUGUCGUGAGAUGUUGGGUUAAGUCCCGCAACGAGCGCAACCCCUAUCAUGUGUUGUAUCACUCACACGAGACUGCCGAGAGAAACUCGGAGGAAGGCGGGGAUGACGUCAAGUCAGCAUGGCCCUUACGUCCUGGGCUACACCCACGCUACAAUGGCCGGUACAACGGGCGGCGAAACCGCGAGGUGGAGCAAAUCCCUUAAAGCCGGUCUCAGUUCGGAUUGUAGGCUGCAACUCGCCUACAUGAAGCCGGAGUUGCUAGUAACCGCCGGUCAGCAUACGGCGGUGAAUAUGUUCCCGGGGCUUGUACACACCGCCCGUCACGUCAUGAAAGCUGGCAACACCCGAAGCCGGUGGGCCAACCCGCAAGGGAGGCAGCCGUCGAAGGUGGGGUCGGUGAUUGGGACGAAGUCGUAACAAGGUAGCCGUACGGGAACGUGCGGCUGGAUCACCUCCUUUCUAGGGAGAUCCGAGUCAGGACCAUUACGGUGCGGUCCUGGCGUUGAUGGCUCCCAGGUUGAUCGCCCGAUCGUUCGCAUCUCCAGUCAAGUGGGGUGCGCCGGCGCAAGCCGGAGAUCGACAAGCGACUUGGCGAGACACCGUACCGGGCACGAUUCGAAGGCCCUGUUCCUACCACUCUUCAUGGGUUACGGUGCGGCCCCCCUGCCAGACCGGUGAGGCCGGCACUCAGGGCGCAUAGCUCAGUUGGUUAGAGCGCGGCCCUGAUAAGGCCGAGGUCCCUGGUUCGAGUCCAGGUGCGCCCACCACUUCCCGCAGACCUAUGGUUACGGGGACGUAGCUCAGCUGGCAGAGCAUCUCCUUUGCAAGGAGAGGGUCAGGAGUUCGAGUCUCCUCGUCUCCACCACCUUGCCAGCUGCAGAUCUCGACAGAUCUCGUCCACCUGGCUCGCGCAAUUGAAUAGCCCGGGUACCCCCGGGAACGGCCCACGCGGGCCCCAACCCAAGCGACAUCUCUCCGACGGUUCGCAGGCUGGUCCUGGAACCGUCGUCACACGUCCGACACAGAACACGCUCCCCUGAUCCGUGCGCUCCAUCGAGAGCUCACCGACCAGCGGAACGCUGGAACGGCAAAGGAGCCUGGCUCCCCAGUCGCGGACCGCUUCGGCGGUGCACCUUAACAACUGGAUAGAUGACGGCAGUAAAGAGGGUCAAAGACUGUCGAUCGCAGGAUCGACGGAUCUAUGGAUCAUGAUUUCGCCGGAAAUCAAGGAGAACCCGAUCUGAUCCCGUCCCGCACUGACCGCCUGGUCAGAUGCUGGCGGAGGUCAAGCUACACAGGGCACGGGGUGGAUGCCUUGGCGCCAAGAGCCGAUGAAGGACGUGGCAGGCUGCGUUAAGCCCCGGGGAGUCGCGAGCAGACGUCGAUCCGAGGAUAUCCGAAUGGGGAAACCCGG
rnacentral:sRNA from 1 species